CAUGUUACAUGCUGUUUACAUGUGGACAGACGACUGGAACCUCAGGAUCUGCCUGCUGAGUUGAGGCUCAAACCCUAAAUAAACACACCAGACUUUUCACUUGUAAAUUGCAGUAUGUCCGUCUGCAGGAAGACAGAUCUCAAGGAUUCAGAGCCUUGAACGUGAUUUCUCCACUCACUCUUCAUCAGUUAUUCUGAGGAUGUUGGGACUCGGCCGCCUCGGAGGCCUGGACUGUCAUUUGAUGUCACAGAGCAUCCUAUGGCAAAGUACGUGAAAGAUUUUCACCCCCGGCUGAUUGGAUUGACGGGAACUGCAGAGGAAGUGAAGCAUGCAGGACGCGAUUAUAGGGUCUAUGCCAGCGCUGGGCCUAAAGGUGAGGAUGGGGAUCAUAUUGUGGACCACACCAUCAUCAUCUACCUGGUUAAUCCAGACGGACUCUUCCUGGACUACUACAAUAGAAUGAAAAGCGAUGUUCAGAUUGCUGAGAGUAUACGUAAUCAUAUGAUAAACUAUGUUAAAUUAUUUCCAGAUUAAUCUAAAUGGGGGGAAAAUGCUUGCACAAUAAAGCUGUAUUUCAAAACAC